rnacentral:rRNA from 1 species
GAACGCUGGCGGCGUGCCUAAUACAUGCAAGUAGAACGCUGAAGAGAGGAGCUUGCUCUUCUUGGAUGAGUUGCGAACGGGUGAGUAACGCGUAGGUAACCUGCCUUGUAGCGGGGGAUAACUAUUGGAAACGAUAGCUAAUACCGCAUAACAAUGGAUGACACAUGUCAUUUAUUUGAAAGGGGCAAUUGCUCCACUACAAGAUGGACCUGCGUUGUAUUAGCUAGUAGGUGAGGUAAUGGCUCACCUAGGCGACGAUACAUAGCCGACCUGAGAGGGUGAUCGGCCACACUGGGACUGAGACACGGCCCAGACUCCUACGGGAGGCAGCAGUAGGGAAUCUUCGGCAAUGGGGGCAACCCUGACCGAGCAACGCCGCGUGAGUGAAGAAGGUUUUCGGAUCGUAAAGCUCUGUUGUAAGUCAAGAACGGGUGUGAGAGUGGAAAGUUCACACUGUGACGGUAGCUUACCAGAAAGGGACGGCUAACUACGUGCCAGCAGCCGCGGUAAUACGUAGGUCCCGAGCGUUGUCCGGAUUUAUUGGGCGUAAAGCGAGCGCAGGCGGUUUGAUAAGUCUGAAGUUAAAGGCUGUGGCUCAACCAUAGUUCGCUUUGGAAACUGUCAAACUUGAGUGCAGAAGGGGAGAGUGGAAUUCCAUGUGUAGCGGUGAAUGCGUAGAUAUAUGGAGGAACACCGGUGGCGAAAGCGGCUCUCUGGUCUGUAACUGACGCUGAGGCUCGAAAGCGUGGGGAGCGAACAGGAUUAGAUACCCUGGUAGUCCACGCCGUAAACGAUGAGUGCUAGGUGUUGGAUCCUUUCCGGGAUUCAGUGCCGCAGCUAACGCAUUAAGCACUCCGCCUGGGGAGUACGACCGCAAGGUUGAAACUCAAAGGAAUUGACGGGGGCCCGCACAAGCGGUGGAGCAUGUGGUUUAAUUCGAAGCAACGCGAAGAACCUUACCAGGUCUUGACAUCCCGAUGCUAUUUCUAGAGAUAGAAAGUUACUUCGGUACAUCGGUGACAGGUGGUGCAUGGUUGUCGUCAGCUCGUGUCGUGAGAUGUUGGGUUAAGUCCCGCAACGAGCGCAACCCCUAUUGUUAGUUGCCAUCAUUCAGUUGGGCACUCUAGCGAGACUGCCGGUAAUAAACCGGAGGAAGGUGGGGAUGACGUCAAAUCAUCAUGCCCCUUAUGACCUGGGCUACACACGUGCUACAAUGGUUGGUACAACGAGUUGCGAGUCGGUGACGGCGAGCUAAUCUCUUAAAGCCAAUCUCAGUUCGGAUUGUAGGCUGCAACUCGCCUACAUGAAGUCGGAAUCGCUAGUAAUCGCGGAUCAGCACGCCGCGGUGAAUACGUUCCCGGGCCUUGUAUUACACCGCCCGUCACACCACGAGAGUUUGUAACACCCGAAGUCGGUGAGGUAACCUUUUGGAGCCAGCCGCCUAAGGUGGGACAGAUGAUUGGGGUG